CGCGCUGUAAACGAUGAGUGCUAGACGGUGGAGGUAUUGACCCCUUCGCUGCCGAAGCUAACGCGUUAAGCACUCCGCCUGGGGAGUACGGUCGCAAGACUAAAACUCAAAGGAAUUGACGGGGGCCCGCACAAGCGGUGGAGUAUGUGGUUUAAUUCGAUGCAACGCGAAGAACCUUACCUGGCCUUGACAUGUCCGGAAUCCUGCAGAGAUGCGGGAGUGCCUUCGGGAAUCGGAACACAGGUGC
rnacentral:rRNA from 1 species